CGGAGCCGUGCCAUCAGAGGGACGCUUUCUGCGCACGCUAUCUCCAGCGUUCUAUACAGAGCGUGAGGCGGGCUCUAGCCCGGUUUCUGGAGAGGUGAGAGCUCGUGCUAAAGCUAUUUGGUGGGCUUUCAUGAGCAUCUCCUAAAGCUGUUGACUGCCCUGAUCUUUGUGGUAUUUAAUGUGGUGAAAAGUACUGCAACCUCUGAACUCAGAACGGCUGGCUGUUCUUAGUCCAUCGUUUCAUGAAGGUCAGCAUUGUGACCGAGGCAGGUGCUUGGUAGUAGGACUGCUGUGACUGAGUAACGUGGCACUCUUGCUUUGCAACAGCAAUACGUGGAAUCACGGAAUAUCCCGAGCUGGGAAAGGACCCACCAGGAUCAUCCAGCCCAAGUUCUGGCUCCGUGCAAGACCCACACCUAUAGUUAAAUACUAAGGCGUAACAGAACGCAGCAAGGAGCUGUGUCAGGAUUUGAUGUAGUCCUUUGGUGUUUAAUGUGGCAGGAGCGUCUUAUGCUCAGAAUACUUCUCGUGUUUACUUUUGGCAGGAUGCUUGGCAAUUUAACAGACCUUUCUUCAGGUUGGGCUGACUGGGGGAAGAAAGGUCAGCGGAACUUACUGUUUAAAAAUCUCCCUCUGCGGAAUUGGCGGGUGAAAGUGGGAGGUCCUUCCUCACCUUCUAGCUUACAAGCCACGUUUGCAUCUCAGCAGUUUUAAAGAAUGACAGCAGAGGGGCAUUCUGACAAAAUAGCGUCCGCAGUGGAAGUGCAGAUGAAGCAGAAAUGUGUGACUGAUUUUUCUCCAUGAGGAAAAAAAUUGCCUUCAUUGACAUUCAUGGAUGCUUGCUGAGCUUUUAUGGAGACUAAACAGUGAAUGUGAGCACAGUGAGGUAGGUGGGUAGUACGUUUCAGCAGUGAUAAUAGUGACAUGAAAGAUAAUCCAUGUUCUGGACAGCUCUCCAGAUUUUUCCAAGUGU